rnacentral:rRNA from 1 species
UACGAAGGGGGCUAGCGUUGCUCGGAAUCACUGGGCGUAAAGCGCACGUAGGCGGAUUGCUAAGUCAGGGGUGAAAUCCUGGAGCUCAACUCCAGAACUGCCUUUGAUACUGGCGGUCUCGAGUCCGGGAGAGGUGAGUGGAACUGCGAGUGUAGAGGUGAAAUUCGUAGAUAUUCGCAAGAACACCAGUGGCGAAGGCGGCUCACUGGCCCGGUACUGACGCUGAGGUGCGAAAGCGUGGGGAGCGAACAGG